GUGGUUGUAGCUCAGUUGGUUAGAGCACCAGAUUGUGGUUCUGGGGGUCGUGGGUUCGAACCCCAUCAUCCACCCUA
rnacentral:tRNA from 2 species